GUAUUUAUAGUUUACACCAGGAAACCUAAAUAUUCUAACUAGAACAAAACAGGAAAACUAAGUCGAUACCUACCUACGACCCUACUUACGGGACGUAGGUAGUACCUAUAGGCCCUAGGUUAGUUUGUAAGUCUCAGAGAAAUUCAGAGCUUCAAAUACCUUCUUACAAAGUGUAACUAUAGGGUCUAUAGGUGCCACUUACGCCCCGUAAUUAGGUCUUUAUAGGUCUUAGAGCCAAUUUCAACCUUCAGAGCUUUCUUUUGCUAGUUUUAACCCCACCUUUGGGGUGUAAGUACUACUUACAGCCCAUAGGUGGUUCUGUAAGUAGCAUUUUAAAUACACUUCAUCAUAUUUUUCUCCUAUUCUACUCCAAAACCUAUUUUCCUGCAAAGCCAACAGAAAAACAUAUCACAUCUAACAAAAAAGGCCCAAGUACUUGCAUAAUUUUUGUCUUUAAGCAUCGAAAGUGUCAGGAAACCAUGGCACAUCAACACUCUCAACUUAGAAUAUUUGUAUGUCCUCAGGAAACUAACACAUAAUGCUUAACUAAGAGAAAUCUAAGACACCUAUGACAGUCAACUCAACUUUUGCUCAAAAUUCUUAUACCCUCCAAUUUCCAACUUUUCCAAACCAUUGUGUGGAUCUACGUAGCACAACAGUAUGACACAAAGGAAUCAUGUAAUGGAAUUACAUUAACAAUAAACAAUCAAGUGUUUAUAAAAUUUACACUACUCAAAGAGAUAACCACUUAACAACACAACUCAUGUACCCUCAUAAAAAAGAAGUUUCAAUUCUCAUAGUAUCAUCAUGAAUGUGAAUGCAAGGGACUAUGUCAAGACACUUAUGCUCAUAAAAGAAGUUCCAAUCAAUGUGCAUAGAAUACCAGAGGCUUACCCUUAUUUUAUAUACCUUAGUUUUUCAAACAGUUGGACUAGGAUUACUAUAAGACUUUGUUCGACUUGUAAUGUAUUCUAGGGGGAAGAUAUGCUACAUUUGGGAUAAUGAAACUACACUUUUAUUUGAGGCUCCACUUCUCAACCCUUCUUUUUUUAUUUUUCCCUUUUUUUCUCUUUAUUGAUUAUUUUGAUUGGGUGUGUUUUUUUUUGCUUCACUUAUACAUUUUUCUCUUUUUCUUUUUCUAUUCAAGUUUUCCACUUUGUUUAUUUCUUCUCUUUUUUUCUUUUUCUACCAUACCCAACCUUACUUUAUUUUUAUUUUUCAUUAAACAUCCUUCUACAUACCCAAUUUUAAAUACACACCCCCAUGAUAUCCACCCUCAACUUAUAGGAUUUGCACGAGUUGAGGUGCAUAGUGUCCAACAAGGGACUAGGGCCAAAAUAGGUUCACUGUAAUUAAAUGGAAAGGUAAAAGGGUAAAAAUAAAAAAAUGGUCAAUUUAGGCUCAAAUUAAGGAUCAAGGAAUACUUAUUAUUUUUUGGAUGGUUAUUUAGGCUAAGAGUGGACUAAGUCUAAAGCAGCCUAUGAUCAUGUCCUAACCAACUAUCCUACAACCUAGGUAACACUAACUGGGCAUGUUCUGGAUUAAAUGCAGAAAGAAAAUAUGGUAGACGCCUCACACACACAUGGUACAAGGUUAUAUCUCCAACUACUGCCUAUCUAGUUCAUGCAAUGAUAGCUAUGAUUAUUUUUUCCUUAAUACUAAUUCCAUGACAAGAUUUACAAUAGUCAAACAAAUAUUUACAUCAUGCAGUUCACAAAACUUUAGAAGGAACAAAACAUGUCAACUGCCCUUAGGUUCGUAUUUUUAUCCUAAUUAAACUCAAAAAACAAAACACCUACAACAACACAAAUACAACCUAAACAUUCCAUCUCUACUAUGAACAUACUCUGAGAAAAAAAGACACGACAACAAAAACCCAAAGUCAACAUCUUGACCCACAAGUAGCCCUACCCCAAUAAAAUAAGCAUGCAUUAUCCUUAAUACAUUAGGCCACCAUAAAGAAAGAGAGUUAGUAACAUACGUAUGGCACCUUAGGCCUGUAGAUCUGAUGUUAAUCAUAAUAACAUGAAAUAUCACAAACAUAGAAAUAAUAAAACACAUUGGGUUUCCUCCCAAGCAAUACCUAAUAUAAUAUCGCAACACACCCUGGGACAUUGAUUAUUCAGAAUUCAUCCAGGUAUCCAUAUGUUUGGUAUUCAAGGUCAUCAACACUAUUUAUUAUCGAAACCACCCUCAUGUCAGUCGGUUGCUUCAUA
rnacentral:lncRNA from 1 species